rnacentral:misc_RNA from 1 species
CUGAAACUUUUUAGUCCCUGUGUAAUAAG